GCCAAGUACGGCAACUCGCCCCAUUUCGAAAUGGGACGGAGAAAUCAAAUCCCAUUUCCUGUCCUUUAUUUCUUAAAAAAAAAAAAAUAAAGAAACUGUCCACGGCAGUGGUGGGGAGUUGAUUUGAUGCUCCUCACCACCCGCAGAAUUGCAGCAGCUGCGUUUCCUGCAGCAGGGGUAUUUCUGAAGAAACCAGCGAAAUUCGGAGAUAGCGAUCGAAAGCAGCUCCCCGUGCCCCUAAGCAAGGGGGGGAAGUUCUGGUUUGGGGGGCUCGGGGAAGGGUUGUUUCUCGGUGGGGAGGUGGCACCUCUCCAAGUCCCGUUUCCCUUCCAGGUGGGUUUGCAGCUGGGCACGGGGGGGGGAUGUUCCCGCUGCCUCACCCUGGGGACGAGCCAGGGUCGCGCAGCCACCGCCGGCUCUGCGCCAAAUAAAGCCAACGCCUUCGCCUGCCUGCCUUCCCCCCCCCUUCCGCGUUUAUUCUUUUUUUUUUUUUUUUUUUUUCAAAGAACCCCUGAAAUUCCCCCGUGGUGUCACGGAAAGAGAGCGGUGGUAACCGUCACUGGCAGAGCUCUCCUCGCUCACAAGCCCCAAAUGUCAAAGGCGGGGGAGAAGACGUUUGUGCUCAGGGAGGGGGGAAAAAAGAAAAGAAAAAAAGGAAAAAAAGCAAAGUCAGAUCUAGCUGGGGAGGAGAGGGGUGUGAGGAAGGGGAGGGAGGUGAGAAGGGGCUGACACGGUCCCUCUCCGCUUCCAGCGAAGCGGGAGCGGCUCUUCCUCAUCCCACUCUCUUCCUCGCCGCUUUGCUGGGACCCCCCCCCGGCUCACCCCCCCCCCCCCCCCGCAUCCCCCCGCACCCUGCGGGGCAGCCCCGGGACCUGCCGACCUCCCCCUGCCCCUCGCUCAACGCCCCCAGGGCUCGGGCAGCCCCCCCCGGGGGGGGUGGGUGCCGAGGACGGGCGGCGGAGCCCCCUCCGUUCCCAAAAAUGGCUCUCUGCGUGGGCAAGCCCACAGAAAUGGGCUCGAAAAGCCCGAUUUGGGGGAAACCUGUGGAGGGAACGGACGUGACCUGCGCCUGAGAGCGGAGCUGAAGGAUCAGCAGCCGCAGUUAACACCAGUCACUUCCACCGAGAUUUUGGUGCUUUUAUUUAUUUAUUUUUUUUUUUUUUUCGGGCUGGAAACUUUUUUUGGGUGUGCCUAGAGCUGCGUAAUUUCGUAAUUAUUUUUUCAGACACCGUUGUCUAUAUCCAGCCUGUGCGACCAGGUUGUUAAAGACUGGAUGAUUUUUUGCUCAUUACCAACUGGAUCUCUGCAAGGUUUAAUUAAGCCCCGUCCGCCUCGUCACGUUUCUUUUCCCGAACAAACUAAGUUCUCUGCUCGGGACUGCUCUGUAUUGCGGGACCGAAAAGAUGGGAGAACUGAAGGAACAGAGUUGUGAAGUAAUCUGCUCAAAGCCGUGAAGGAGGCCAGUGACAAAUCCAGGAGUAGAAGCCAAGUCUCCUAAAUUGCAGCCUAAUGCCAUCUAAUACUGUAAUCAACAAGAAAGUUUGCCUUCUGAUGUUACAAUGAGGAUGAACCCCCAAGGCAUGGCUGCAAUGGUUGUUUGAAACAAGAAACAGAUACCCUCUUGGUGUCAUUCAUUUCACUGAUCACUGGGAAUCUGAGCCUGCACAAAGGUGGAGGAAGACUCCUACAGAGAGCUGGGAACGGUUUGUCCCUUAAGAAGGGUAUAAUGGCAUUUUUAAUGUUUUUACCAAAUACCAGGGCAUGUGAUAAAAGUUUAUGGAUCAGGAAUUAAUUGAAAGAUUGUGAAAUGGGAAAGAAUGCGCAUUGCGGGAAGCCUUGGAGAGCUACAACCUAAGCACCCUGAAAUUUGCGACCAAGCCCACAGAAUAUCUCUGGAGUUAUUGGAACCAUCUCAGAUGACUGUUAUUUUUUAUAUAAUUUACCAGCCCCAGUAAGGUCCCACAGCCAGAUUGGGAAAAGACGUUCCUUUUAUUAAUGUUCGUCCAGGGAACUAAAGUGUAUUCUGGGUAAUGAAACAUCUAGUUUAUGGAAUUAGCUACAGAACUCAGAUUUUUAAAAAAAAAAGGCAGCAUGAAUUUGUACCUGGGAGGUGGUACAUGUUUUAAAAAAUGCUGUUCAAAAGACAAUGUGCUUAUAUCUAAGGUCUGUUACCUGCAACAUCAAAGUUUACAGUUUUAUAUGUAUGAAAUAACACAACUGUAUGAUGAAACGUGAAAUGUAUAAUUAAACUAAUGUCUAUAAGUAUAGAACUAUGUAAAUAUUAUCUAAAUCAUAUGUGUAAGCAUUAAAUAAACUAUUUCAUUUCUAGAGGUUACAGAAAACACUUCAAAAUUUUAUACAGUCCUUCCACCCCCCCAAAUUUUUAAUAUAAUUGCAGUUUUAGAACUGAUCUGUCUAUUCAUUUUUUAAUAUUUGCAGUCGCGUUAAAUUUUACUGAGGAACAAUUUAGUUUGGGGAAACGGUUACACUUUAUCCCAACUGUGGUUUGUGUUGUUUGAACAAGAAGUCCCUGAGUAUUUGUCCCAAAUACCAGUAUUUUUACUCCACUGGCAGCUGUGUAUUUGUGGUCAUCCUACAGCAAUGUGUGCAAAGAAUGUACACAGUGGCAGUGCCUCUUCCAGAGAGUACCAGGAGCAAAACUGGAUGUGGUCAACCCGCACAUAAUUUGCUCUUCUUAGUGGAGGUCGCACGUAGACAGCACUUAAACGACACUUUUAGUUUCUGGAUAAGAUGAAGGUAAGGGAUAGAAACCAUUCGAAAGCCAUUGCUUAUGUUCCCUGAAAUGGGCUGAAAAGAACAGCUCUUCUGAGACAUAGCUUUACACUGAACAUAUGCAGAGCUGUGUCAUUAUUAAUUCUGAAAAUGUGUUUACAAUGGUUAGGUAAAAUAUUUGGUUACUAUUUAAAUAUUUUGAUGUAUUAUAGCUCAUACACGGAUUUUAGAUGUCUACUGCACUUAACAGUUCCAAUUUAAAUAACUGGUUUCGUUAAGAUUUUUAGUGAUACAAAUUAAUAACAAAAGGCAGUUAAUACAGAGUGCAGUUAUGAGACCAAAAUACAUGUGGUUUAAAUUUAAAGAAUUAAAUGUUAGCAUUUCCCUAUAGAGAAAGGUUAUUUGGGCAGUGGUGUACUGACAUUAUCACCACCCACGGAGAAGGGGACCUGUUGAUCCUAUUGGUUAAGCAGAAAUUCAAAAAAGGAAAAAAUGUAGGUCUAGAGGGUUUGCUUGGUGUAAGUGAAUCACACAGGAAAAAUGCUGAUACCCAGAGUCAUCGUAGUGACCUUCUUUGAUGGUUAGAAAGAGAAAUAAGCUCGCGAUAUUUUUGUCAAGUUAGAGGGUUUAGGUUGCUUGCUAGGUAAAAUUGGUCUUGGUUAUUAAUAUAGUGGAAAGCUAAAUGAUGACCAUGGAAAUAUGAUAAUAAGUGCUCUUGCAAAUUAGAUAGGAAUGAUUUUCUGCGGCCAUUAAGAAUGGUAAUCCAAUGUGUUAACCGUUGGGCUGAAGGGCUGCUAAGAAAAUAAAUGUGGCAAGAGGAUAAAAUAAAAGUAUGUUUAAGUAGGUGUUUCUUCAAAGCUUCCUUCAGGAAGGUGUUUCUGGACACUACCAUACUGCUUCUGACAAAUUGUGUCUGUUAAGAUAAAGGUAAGCAAACAGCAUUCAUUUAGCAGUAAGUAGUGCUGUCUGUACCUCUGGAUUCCUGUUUUAGCAAACCUUUAUAAUAAUUUUAUUGGACCUAGCUAGAAACAAAUCUACUAAAAAUAACAAUUACUGAUUUGCCACUAUUUAAUGUUAGUUUAAUCUGACAACUCUGGGAUGGCUUUGCCUGUUAUUCCUGGAAGAAACUACAUAAGAUUGGGUGGUUUUGAGUAGUUUUAUCCAGACGUGGGACUGCACAGAAAAGUCAGGUCUCAACAUCGCUGCACGUAGGGAAAGCUUGUCUCUGACCCUCGCCCUGACAGCUCGGACACGGGCUGAGCUACACCCCAGGCUACUGGUACUCUGCACUUUGGCUUUUGAAAUUUUCUGGGUGAGAUAUAGUUUCAACAUGAAAAGUCAAAAUAUGGUGGUUUACAAUCAGUUUUGCUUUGUUUGAAGCUAAAACUCAAAGCAAAACUCCCGAGGCAUAGAACUGUACGAAGCAAAACAUCAGAAAGUUAACACAAAAACACUGCAAACUGAACAAGCUAGUUUCACUCAGCUCUUGAAAUAACCCCUUUUUGCAAGUUCACUUUUCAAUUGCAGAUGUGCGAGAUGUCAAAAAUGAGUUGGUUUCACUACCCCGUGGCACAGAUGAAUGCCGCAGCUCUAAAGCAUCACCCUCCGUCUGAGCAAGGUCUCCCUCUCUGUCUCGGCUGAUACUUUAGAUAUCUGCCAAGGGAUGCAAUUUUCUCAGCCCCAGGCUAGUAACAUUUACCUUUCGUUCAUCUGUAAAACAAGGGAUUUGGGGUAAGAGCCAAAACCCAGCCCGUAUGUUUUUUAUAGUUGUAUCCAGCUCUGAACUCAUUUCCCAAAUCUCUAACAAUGCUCUAAAUGGCACCCAGUCCCAAAAUGGCAGGAGUCACUUCACCUCUGUGAGGUCAUCUGAGGAUUCAUGUGUUUCAAGUUUUCUUGAUUUUCUGGUAUUUUCGGGACGCUGAACACCUGCUGCUCUUCCUCGCUGGCACAGAGCUGCAGGUGCUCAUGCCCUUGUGAAGAUCAGACCCCUCCUCCCAAGGCACUCUUAUUUAUGGUGAAGCAACGAACAACCCUCUGCUCUGCUUUUGCUUUUUGUAAUUUUAGUGCAACUGGCUUGAAACGAACCUAUGAACUGCACCGAGACAGAGAUAAUUUUAGUUGGUGAGUGUGUAUGAGUUCAGACUGGUCAGGGCUCCUUUGUUUGCUGGGCAGCCGAUCCCUUUUCUUUCCCCCCAAAAUAUUGAGGGACUGAACUCCUGAGCUUCCAAAAUUAUUACUGACGGAGAAGCAAGGUGUCAGCAGCAGUGGGGCUAAGUGAGUCACCUUCUAGAUGUAGAUCUCAGACUUUAGCAACUUUGUCGAGAAGAACUAGAGUGAUGUUCAGAAUAAUAAUAAUAAAAAAGAAUAUCAGACAAUCAGUGAUCUUGUGUGCAUAUAAUUUGCUUAUUCGUAUGUCAAAUUUUCGUGGUGAAAUGGUACCUAGGAAAGUGCAGAGUGCAAGGGGAAUGGCUGACUUUGAAGGUUUAAGGAUAUCUUGAAAUACAGCUCACAGACCGAGUUACACGAGGAUUAUUGAGAGUGGAAUUUACAAUAUAAUGGCUCACCUCUGCACAAGAGUGAAUUUUAUACGGUGUGAGCCUAUGUUACUGAAAAACACCAUUGGGCUGUUGGUGGAACGCAAAUAUUAUGUGACUCUGAAUCUCACUUGGUAUUUUAAACCAUGAGAGUUUCAGAUUUGAGUCAUAGUAACUUGUAAGUAGGGUAUGUAUAUGCAUAUAGAGCACACAAGCUGUAAGCAAGGCUUCUGCCUUGGGGUUAUUUUCUCCUCAAAUUGCAGAUUUGGUUCUCUGUUAUUGCAAAUCAUUAUAGCCUCAAUGAAAAGUCAGAAGUCAGAUUAGGUGCUUCCCAAUUUUUAAAAGAAACAUGAACUAGAAACCUUUACAGUCUUCUAUUUUCUUCUCUGUUUGGCACUUUGAUUUUCAGAACCCUUGGUCCAAGAAAUCAUGUUACACCUCUCUUACACCUCUGCUUCUCCACGGUGCUUCCUACGUGGAACUGGCAUCGGAAUUUGUCCAACCUCUAAUUUACCCCAUCAGAGCACUCAGCAGCAUCUAAUCUUUCAUUAGAGUCAGAAACUUGGCUAGCACUGCUCAAAGAGCACCUUUAACCCGAGAUCUUCACUGGAGAACUCCUCUAGUCAGAGCAAGAGCUGGAGAAGACAGCACACGAGUGCCUGCUAGCAGCCCCGGAGGCACGUGUGGGAAAAAGUUCUGUUUCUUCUCUUUUUUUUCAUGUUUUAAUUCAGCACUUUGACUUAAAAUAUGCAUCUAGGCAAGCUAUGCAAAGAGUGACUUGCUGAACAGAAGACUGUAAGGUAGGAUUAGAGGCUCUGCUUAAGAGAAACUCUGCUUCAGCCUAGAGAACAAUCCCACCACAAAAUAAAAUUAACUUUAAAAGUAAUGAGAUUUUCCACUGUUAACUUAAUAGCAGCAAACCACAUGUUCUAAACAAUGUUUUAAUUUUUUUUUUUUUUUGUAUAAGGACUCAUUUUUAGUAACAAACCCCAGACUAUUAGCCCUGCCAUUUUUCCACUGCUGGAGGAAAACGUGGACUCUUGCUGAGUCGUA